rnacentral:miRNA from 1 species
CGGGCAGGUUGGUAGGGG